AUGUUCUUUUUAACCUCCAUUACUUACAUAGUUAAAUGUUCUCUAAUUUGUUUGUUUUUUUGCAUUACAUUGCAGGCGACUAGAGUAUUGAACAUGAAUGCAGACUGGAAGAUCAAGGAUGGAUUUGAGGAGGGGCAAGGACCUUUUGGUGACUGUCCAGUCAGCCAUGGGAGAGGAGCAGAUCUGUGAGCUGAAGGACAUUGAACCCAAGUAAAUUCUCUAGAGAAGACCAGUUUUGGAACAGAGGGACCAACUAUAUCUCAAAACUUGCACCCAAUGGGGAGCGGAAAUCAGAGAGCCCUGGCAAGGCUGUGCACGGGAAGGUGAGGUCAUCUGUUGCCUUUCUUUGUUUUGAUUUCGCAUCUUUUUGUCUUUUUGUUUUGAGUUGUAUAAUUUUCACCUGAAGCGUAUAAGCGUAUAAGUUUAUUGGUUCACCGUUUGGUGUAUCGUGAUAUGA